rnacentral:rRNA from 1 species
UACAGAGGUGGCAAGCGUUGUUCGGAAUUACUGGGCGUAAAGGGCGCGUAGGCGGCCUACUAAGUCAGACGUGAAAUCCCCCGGCCUAACCUGGGAACUGCGUCUGAUACUGGAAGGCUUGAGGAUGGGAGAGGGAUGUAGAAUUCCAGGUGUAGCGGUGAAAUGCGUAGAUAUCUGGAGGAAUACCGGUGGCGAAGGCGGCAUCCUGGACCAUUACUGACGCUGAGGCGCGAAAGCGUGGGGAGCGAACAGG